rnacentral:rRNA from 1 species
GACGUAGGGCGCGAGCGUUGUCCGGAUUUAUUGGGCGUAAAGAGCUCGUAGGCGGCUUGUCGCGUCGAAUGUGAAAACUCGGGGCUCAACUCCGAGCUUGCAUUCGAUACGGGCAGGCUAGAGUUCGGUAGGGGAGACUGGAAUUCCUGGUGUAGCGGUGAAAUGCGCAGAUAUCAGGAGGAACACCGGUGGCGAAGGCGGGUCUCUGGGCCGUAACUGACGCUGAGGAGCGAAAGCGUGGGGAGCAAACAGG